AGGGACAAACACUGUUUUCUUGACUGAUGGAUGUCGUUAGGUGGUUCUAGAUGGUGAGUUGGUUUCAUGGGGACAAGCCCAUUGCCGUACUUUCCAUCCUGUGGAAUGAGUUCCUUGACCAGAAGCAAUGCCGUGCAGAACUGUCAUGGUGGAUAAGACAUUCUGUGAGUCUAAGAACGGUAGUGCUUGCAGCCAUGUCGUGAACAGGAAAGGCAAAUUCAUAUCCAGAACAUGUGUCUGCUCCAGUGAGGGUAGAUCCUGCCACCUCCAUUACGAAGUGGUCUGAUGUAAUUAACUGCUGUCAGGUGUUUGGCUGUUUUCCUUGGGCAAUGGGAUCAUGGGGACUCAGUGUUGGUCUCUGCUGUUGGCGGACCAGGCACUCAGUAGUAGAGCUGGCCAGGUCAUCCUUGGUAAGAAGAGGUCCUUGGCAUUAAACCCUUGCAUAACCCUCGUCCCUGCUACCACAGCCACUCUGUUUAUCAGCCCAUUGAGUGAAUACUAGGAUGACUGGGAAAGGGGGCUGACUGACAUCCACCAAGCAUGUCAUUUUGUCUAAAUGACUAUUUAGAGCCUUCUCUGCAGUGGAUGUCCUUUAAAUGACAUGGGACAGUAUCUUUAUGGUCUGUGAUGAUUCUGAGAAGUCCAUGAACCUCAUUCCUAGAAUUUCUUGUCACAGAUCUCCCACCCUUCUCCUUCUAAUUCACUGACCAUCCAGCCAAACCAUCGGCGACUGCCCACGAAUUAGUGUAGAUUCAUACUGUGAUCUGGCUUUUCACACUCAGAGCUCUGCCAAACUGGAAGAUGUCUUCACUAUAUUUCUUCAAGAUCCUGAAUAGGGCUGUAAUCCACAGCCAUCCACUGUUUGAUGGUAGCAUGCAGACUCAUCCAUAAACCAGGCUUGAAUUUGUUCUUCAGCAAAUGGUUCAUAUAAAACUCCCCAUGAGGCCACAGGCAGGGACUGAAGGGUAAGAGGCAUCGCCAAAGGAGCUUGAUCUACCUGCUCAUGCAGCUUACCUAUACCUCUGGACCUGUCCAGUCCAUUAUAUACCACCUCCCUUUAAAUGGCUGCUGCCCACACCUGAAGUUCUGGCCAGGGGGCAAGGCAACAUCCAGUCCAUGAUGAGAAGUUCAGGUUACACGGUCACCUGAUAUACCAUGCUUAGACAUUAUAGAUCUUCCUUGACUUAUGACGGGGUUAUGUCCUGAUAAAACCACUGUAAGUUGAAGAUAUCAUUAAGUAGAAAUUCAUUUAAUACAUCUAGCCUACUGAACUUCAGAGCUUAGCCUAGCCUACCUUCAAUGUGCUCAAACAUGUCCAUUAGCCUUCAGUCAGGCAAAAUCACAAAACCCAUUUUAGAACACAGUGUUGCGUGUUCCCGUCAUGGCUCAGCGGUUAACAAACCCAACUAGCAUCCAUGAGGACGCGGGUUUGAUCUCUUGCCUCCCUCAGUGGGCUACAGAUCUGGCGUUGCUGUGAGCUGUGGUGUAGGUUGCAGACACGGCUCGGAUCCCGCAUUGCUGUGGUUCUGGUGUAGGCUGGAAGCUACAGUUGCAAUUUGACCCUUAGCCUGGGAACGAACCUCCAUAGGCUGCUGGUGCGGCCUUAAAAGACAAAAAAAAAAAAAAAAGAAUACAGUGUUGAUGAUCUCGCAUAAUUGAUUGCAUACUGUACUGAAAGUCAAGAACCGAAUGUUUGUGUGGGCAGAGCAUGGUUGUAAAGGCAUCGAUUGUUUGCCCUUGUGAUCACAUCGUUUACCCUCACUGCCACUGCCAGGCAUCACAAGAGAGUACAGUACCACUAACCCUAGCCUGGAAAAGAUUAAAAUUCAAAAUUCAGUGUCUGGUUUCUACUGAAUGCAUAUCCCUUUUGCACCAUCAUAAAGUCAAAAAAUUAAGUCAAAUCAUCCAGUCAGGGACCAUCUAUGGUACCUACUAAGGCCCACUAGCAAGAAAGAAGCUAUUUAUCAAAAACGGAAUAGUUAUUUCUAGAAGGCAUAGAUUUUUUGCGCUCAAAGACUAAAGAGUCUAUGUGAUGGUUCUUCUAUUGGUACUUGUCAAAGUCUCCACUCUCUGAAACAACCUCAUUGCCUGCAUUUGCUGGCUCUUAAAGCCCAAGUGGAGGAGUUUGGAAACGGCUAUAAGGACCACAUGGAGCAGGACUGCGUGUCAAGUCUGGAUACUUGAUGUUAAGGCAGGUAGGAGGCAAGCGGGGAGAGCAAACCAUCAGGAGUCUGCCAGGCACCUACCUAGAGGUCAAGCACCUGGGGCUGGAUGCACAUGUCUAAUCUGUGCUGGACAUGCCCAACUCUGCCUCAGACUGUCCCGGGUUUAAGUUAGUCUCUACCUGGUGUCUAACAAUCUCCCCAUCGCUCGCUGAGCCCUUCUUGGCGCCAGAACAGUGUUGGGGGCUCAGUAUAUGUCAUUGUAUUUAAUCCUAAGACAACUCUGCAGACAGUUGUUAUUGUCCCUAUAUGCAGACGAGGAGACUGAGGCACAGCGCAGUGUACCGACUUGUCCAAGCCACUCUGCAGUUACACGCAGAGCCAGGAUCAGGCCCUGGCUGUCUGAGCUGGAAGGCAGAGGUGCUUUGACAACAGGUCUCGCUUGAGCCACCCAACCACGCAGAACCUCAGUUUCCUUAUGUGUGAAAUGGGGGGUGGUCACUCUGUAGCAGGUGUUUGUGGAGCAGGUACAUAGCUGGCUUUGGGAACAGUAAGUCCUGCUCCAUGUGGUUUGUGGGUGGAUGAAAUACAGUGGGUUUAUAAUUUGCCCAUUCCUGCAUCAGACACAGAGUAGAAUCUCAACAAACUAUAUUGCUUUUUCUUUUUCUUUCUUUUUUUUUUUUUUUUUUUAAUGGCUGCCCCUGUGGCAUAUGGAAGUUCCCAGGCUUGAGGUUGAAUCAGAGCUGUAGCUGCUGGCAUUCACCACAGCUCACAGCAACGCUGGAUCCUUAAUCCAUUGAGCAAGGCCAGUGAUUUAACCAAAAUCCUCAUGGAUACUAGUUGGGCUUGUUCCCACUGAGCCACAGUGGGAAUUCCUGCUCUUUCCUUUUUUAAAAUCCAUAGCUUCUUGCCAUCACGGGCUCAGUCAUUCUCUGCCUGGCAGGCUGAAACCUUCCCCUGCUCACACUUCUGCGCUUUAUGUGCUGAUAACAUGGUUCUAAUUCAUUUAUAAACAUUGGGGUAUCUUCUGCAGUCAUCAUCUUUUAGAGGAAUAUGAAUUGUCCUUACCAUCUGACAAACUUGCAAUGGUUCUAAGGCUCAGAUGUGGUGCUGUAGGCGGGAGAUAAGGGGAGUCUGAAGAGUCUUGGAUUCAUUUCCUUAGGCUAGGUAAGAAAUUAACAAAAACCAUGGGACUUAAAGCAACAUACACUUAAUCUGCCACCUUUCUGGAGGCUAAAAUCUGCUUCAUGCUCCUUCCCCGGCUUCUGAGGCUGCCAGCAGCCCUGGCCUUUCCUUGGUUUGUGGAUGCAUCACUCUGAUUUCUGCCUCUGUCUUCACAUGAUCUUCUCUGCCUGUUUCCUCUUCUGUCUCUUAAGGAUACCUGUCACUGGCUUUCAGGCCCACCGUAAUCCAGACUGAUCUCAUCUUGAAAUCCUUGCCUUAAUUACAUCUGCGGAGACUCUUACUCUGAGGCUCCGAGGAGACGUGUCCUUUGGGAGUCACUCUCCAGUCCAGUACCAGUCUUCUCACUGAGCAUCCCUUCUGCCUGGCCUGAUGCAAGUCACUCUCCCUCCCUGGGUCUCCAUUUCUCUUGGGCCAUCUCUAAAUCAUUCCUAUUUAGAAUAUUCCACCCGGGUGAAAAUCCUAGGGAGGGGUCAGACCCAACUUUCCUCAUUCAACACUCACGAUCCUGCCUGGGUGGGGCGCAGGGCUGUACCCCAGGGAGAGAGGUGACCUUCAGCCUCGUUCCCCCCCCACCUCUGAGAACAAAGGCUAGAGAGAAAGUGGACUUUAGGGGAAGUGAUUACAGUGACCAGAGUGAGAGUUCCCUGAGGCUCAGUCCUGCUUCACCACACCAUCAGAGAGCCUAGCCCCGAGCAGGAAGUCUUUAUUGAUGCAUUUUUCAGCUGGUAAGAGCUAUGAGAGGAUGCCCCAGAUGACUGUUUUCAGAACACAGAGAGCCAACUGGCUGUGCCUUGGAGGGUCCAGAUGGCUUCUCAGUGGAGGUGGUGCUCAAGCUGAGGCCUGGAGAAUGAGUGAUAGUGAACUGAGGUGGGGCUGGAGGGGGCUCUGAUGCUGCCCCAGGUGCACAGGGCAGAGGCGAGAGACAGCUCAGCCUUCUCUAGGGCAGAGAAGGGGCUCAUAAUGGCAGUAUAGGAGGUCACACAACUUGCCUCAGUCUAGUCCCUCCUAGAAGGUAGGGCUCAGACAACUGCUAGGAGCCAUACCCCAGAGCUGUUCUGGUGACAGCACUCCACUCUGCCAUCUUGACACCAUCGUGUGCUAUUAGAUCACAGUUACAGGAAUGUGUGUUAUCAUCCCCAUUUUAUAGAUGAAAAUGAGAUAUAUCAGUUCCUACUGCUGCUGUAACAAAUGGUCACACACCUGGUGGUUUAUUUUUUAUUUUUUUAUUUUGGCCUUUUUGCCUUUUUGAGGGCUGCUUCCCAUGGCAUAUGGAGGUUCCCAGGCCAGAGGUCGAACCGGAGCUGUAGUCACUGGCCUACGCCAGAGCCACAGCAAUGCGAGAUCCGAGCAGCGUCUGCAAACUGCACCACAGCUCACGGCAACGCCAGAUCCUUAACCCACUGAGCAAGGCCAGGGAUCGAACCCACAACCUCAUGGUUCCUAGUCGGAUUCGUUAACCACUGUGCCACGACGGGAACUCCCACUUGGUGGUUUAAAACAGUGCAGAUAUAUUCUCUGGCCAUUCUGGAAGAAGGAACUCCAGAGUCAGUCUCACAGAGCUAGAGUCAAGGAGUCAGCAGAGCUGGUUCUUUCUGGAGGCUCCAGAGGAGAAUCCAUUCUUUGCUUUUUCCAUUUAUAGAGGCUGCCCACAUUCCUCAGCUCACCGCCCCUUCCUUGAUCUUCAAAGCCAGUCUCAUAGUCUCUUCAAAUCUCCUCUGACCUUGUCCUCUGCUUAUGCCAUUGUAUAUCCUUCCCUUUCCCGCUUCUCUCAUGUUCCCUGACUCUGACCCUCUUGCUUCCCUAUUAUGAGGCCCACUGUGCUGACAUUGAACCUACCUGGAAAGUCCAGGAUACCCUUCCCAUCUCAAGACCCUUAAUUUUCCCUUGUGAGAUCACAUAGUCACAGUUUCUGGAGAUUAGGACAUAGACAUCUUUGGGGGGGGGUGAUCAUUAUUGAAUUUACCACAGGAGGCUUCGAGGUGGUUAGAUAUAUGUCCCAAGAUUAGUAUACAGACCACUCAGCACUGUCCAUUGCACCACAGCUCCUCUCUCCCCUUCUGCCAGGAAAUCCUGAGCUGCCCAGUGAACCACAGCCCAAUUUCAGACUCGGAGGGCAGAUCUGAGUUAAGUUCUCCCAAGGCAAUUGGCCUAUGGGACAGAUAUCGCAACAAGUAUUAUAUUUGAAGCAAAUGAUCCUGCAAAACCAGCAGGUCCUGGCUCAGAGAACUGGAGGAUGAGGUGCCGCAUCCUGAUGGGUGGAUGGAUUGUGGGAGGCCAAAGGGAGGGUAGGGCUGGCAGGUGCCCAGACAGGUGGGAAGAUGAGAUGGAGGAGCCAUGGAAAGAUAGCACAGUCAGGUGGAUUGGGGGCAGGGAAGAGAGACAAAAGGAGGAGGAGCUGACUGGGGAAGGAUGGACUCAGACACCUGGGGACUAUGGUAUCAGGUAGACCUUGGGCUUGAAACUCAGCUCUGCCACUUCUCACGGAUGCUGCAUCUGCCUAACCUCUUUGAGCUGCAGUCUCUUCUCUGUGAAGUGAAAAAUCACACCUCUUAAGGCUGUUAUAUACCACUAUUAUGUGUAUGCUACCUUUUUAUACACAUUUUUGUACUUUUACCAUAAAUACUAUGCAGUGUUUUUUCAGUGUUUUCAUUGAUAUGAUAACAUAUGGUAAAUGUAAUUUUACAUCCAUUUUAACCCAAAAUUAAUUGUUAAAGAUAUACCCAUAAUGAAUGAAUGAAUGAAUGAGAGCAAUUACAGAACAAGCCCUAAGGUGGGAAAACUUUCUUCAAUUGAUGAGCACCUCAUUGACUGGGGAGGAUUUCAAGCACAGGCCAAGUCAUCUUCUUGUGGCUCCUCCAUCUCCUGGGGACCUUCACACCUCUGCCUGGAGUAUUUGCUGGCCCCCUCCCCACUCUGGCUUUUUGGAGUCUGUCCAUCCUUCAGCCAGGACACUUCCUGAAACCAUCUCCAGUUCUUAGGCUCACAGAUGCUGGUGGGGGGGAGUGAAUGCUUCACAAAGAGUAACUAAAAACAGCAACAACAGUGCAGCUUGGCAAUUACACUACAAGUUAAGGAUGGAUGGACAUCCUGUCCAACACACAUAGUCACAACACCCUGACUACUCCCUCCAAGUCUGCCCCAAAUUAAUCUUGCCUAUAAAGAGCUCCAUUUCUCCAGAGGAAGAGCCGCUUUAUUAGAGAAGCCCCUUCUCCAUAAAGAUAGAACAAGCAGACCAAUAAACCUUCCCUGGUUUCGGCAUCACUUUGGAAAUCGAUGUGCUAUGAUUGCGAAUCCAGCCUCUGUCAGCAGCCGCCUAAUUUUAGCUGGAUCUUUGCGGGCUUCUCACCGGGCUCAUCCGCCCCCAUGGACUGGCAGAGCGGUUCCCAGAGCAUCAUUGAUCUUUUGACUAAAGUGUCCUAAUGAAAUACAAAUCUGUUGUCACUUAGAGAGCCAUCUGUCAUGGCAGCACAGAAGAAAUGCUACCAGGAGAACAAUAACCAUAAUUUCAUUUUAAGACCCAGCCUUCUUCUCCCCUUUCCUGCCCCCAAAAAAAGUCAAUAUCUUUCACUGUUUCAUUUUGUCACAGAGCAAUAAGAGGAAAGCCAUCCAUAGGGCGUUAAAGAUGUUUCCAAUUAUGUGCAAAUCCUCUGUUAUAAGGGCCCUUGGCCUCUUGGAGUAGUUAGCACCUAUUUGCAUAAAGGGAGUUAGCCAAAGCUUAUUCUGUGUUCCUGUCUUGGGGCAUCCUGCCCAGGUAAGUGACAGGUGUGCAGUGUUCUUGGAGUCCUGGGGUCACAAGUACCAGCCUUACAGAGCAUCAGGCCUUUCCCGGGGGGGAAUGGUCAAAAUAAGCAAAGUUUUUUUUUUUUGUUUGUUUUUGUUUUUUUUUUAAAUGCAGAAUAAAAUUUUAUUUUAUUUUAUUUUAUUUUUAUUUUUUUAUUUUCCCACUGUACAGCAAGGGGGUCAGGUUAUCCUUACAUGUAUACAUUACAAUUCCUUUUUUCCCCCACCUUUUCUUCUGUUGCAACAUAAGUAUCUAGACAUAGUUCUCAAUGCUAUUCAGCAGGAUCUCCUUGUACAUCUAUUCUAAGUUGUGUCUGAUAAGCCCAAGCUCCCGAUCCCUCCCACUCCCUCCCCCUCCCAUCAGGCAGCCACAAGUCUCUUCUCCAAGUCCAUGAUUUUCUUUUCUGAGGAGAUGUUCAUUUGUGCUGGAUAUUAGAUUCCAGUUAUAAGUGAUAUCAUAUGGUAUUUGUCUUUGUCUUUCUGGCUCAUUUCACUCAGGAUGAGAUUCUCUAGUUCCAUCCAUGUUGCUGCAAAUGGCAUUAUGUCAUUCUUUUUUAUGGCUGAGUAGUAUUCCAUCGUGUAUAUAUACCACAUCUUCCGAAUCCAAUCGUCUGUCAAUGGACAUUUGGGUUGUUUCCAUGUCCUGGCUAUUGUGAAUAGUGCUGCAAUGAACAUGCGGGUGCACGUGUCUCUUUUAAGUAGAGUUUUGUCCGGAUAGAUGCCCAAGAGUGGGAUUGCGGGGUCAUAUGGAAGUUCUAUGUAUAGAUUUCUAAGGUAUCUCCAAACUGUUCUCCAUAAUGGCUGUACCAGUUUACAUUACCACCAACAGUGCAGGAGGGGUCCCUUUUCUCCACAGCCCCUCCAGCACUUGUUAUUUGUGGAUUUAUUAAUGAUGGCCAUUCUGACUGGUGUGAGGUGGUAUCUCAUGCAACUGACAAGGGCUUAAUCUCUAGAAUAUAUAAACAACUUAUACAACCCAACAGCAAAAAAA
rnacentral:lncRNA from 1 species